rnacentral:rRNA from 1 species
UACGAAGGGGGCUAGCGUUGCUCGGAAUCACUGGGCGUAAAGGGUGCGUAGGCGGGUCUUUAAGUCAGGGGGGAAAUCCUGGAGCUCAACUCCAGAACUGCCUUUGAUACUGAGGAUCUUGAGUUCGGGAGAGGUGAGUGGAACUGCGGGUGUAGAGGUGAAAUUCGUAGAUAUUCGCAAGAACACCAGUGGCGAAGGCGGCUCACUGGCCCGAUACUGACGCUGAGGCACGAAAGCGUGGGGAGCAAACAGG